rnacentral:rRNA from 1 species
GACGGAGGAUGCAAGCGUUAUCCGGAAUUAUUGGGCGUAAAGCGUCCGCAGGUGGACAUACAAGUCUGCUGUCAAAGUGCAGAGCUUAACUCUGUAAAGGCGGUGGAAACUGUAGGUCUUGAGUAUGGUAGGGGUAGAGGGAAUUCCCGGUGUAGCGGUGAAAUGCGUAGAUAUCGGGAAGAACACCAGUGGCGAAAGCGCUCUACUGGGCCAUAGCUGACACUGAGGGACGAAAGCUAGGGGAGCGAAAGGG